ACACGUAGGGGGCGAGCGUUAUCCGGAAUUACUGGGCGUAAAGAGUGCGUAGGUGGCUUUGCAAGCGUAGGGUAUAAGGCGACAGCCCAACUGUCGUUGGCCCCGCGAACUGUAAGGCUUGAGUACAGGAGGGGAAGGCGGAAUUCCUAGUGUAGCGGUGAAAUGCGUAGAUAUUAGGAGGAACACCAGUGGCGAAGGCGGUCUUCUGGACGGUAACUGACACUGAGGCACGAAAGCGUGGGUAGCAAACAGGAUUAGAUACCCUGGUAGUCCACGCCGUAAACGAUGAGCACUAGGUGUCGGGCUCGCAAGAGUUCGGUGCCGGAGCAAACGCAUUAAGUGCUCCGCCUGGGGAGUACGCACGCAAGUGUGAAACUCAAAGGAAUUGACGGGG
rnacentral:rRNA from 1 species